rnacentral:rRNA from 1 species
CCUACGGGAGGCAGCAGUAGGGAAUCUUCCACAAUGGGCGAAAGCCUGAUGGAGCAACGCCGCGUGGGUGAAGAAGGUCUUCGGAUCGUAAAACCCUGUUGUUAGAGAAGAAAGUGCGUGAGAGUAACUGUUCACGUUUCGACGGUAUCUAACCAGAAAGCCAAGGCUAACUACGUGCCAGCAGCCGCGGUAAUACGUAGGUGGCAAGCGUUAUCCGGAUUUAUGGGGCGUAAAGGGAACGCAGGCGGUCUUUUAAGUCUGAUGUGAAAGCCUUCGGCUUAACCGGAGUAGUGCAUUGGAAACUGGGAGACUUGAGUGCAGAAGAGGAGAGUGGAACUCCAUGUGUAGCGGUGAAAUGCGUAGAUAUAUGGAAGAACACCAGUGGCGAAAGCGGCUCUCUGGUCUGUAACUGACGCUGCGGUUCGAAAGCGUGGGUAGCAAACAGGAUUAGAUACCCUUGUAGUC